rnacentral:rRNA from 1 species
GGUUAAGCGACUAAGCGUACACGGUGGAUGCCCUGGCAGUCAGAGGCGAUGAAGGACGUGCUAAUCUGCGAUAAGCGUCGGUAAGGUGAUAUGAACCGUUAUAACCGGCGAUUUCCGAAUGGGGAAACCCAGUGUGAUUCGUCACACUAUCAUUAACUGAAUCCAUAGGUUAAUGAGGCGAACCGGGGGAACUGAAACAUCUAAGUACCCCGAGGAAAAGAAAUCAACCGAGAUUCCCCCAGUAGCGGCGAGCGAACGGGGAGCAGCCCAGAGCCUGAAUCAGUGUGUGUGUUAGUGGAAGCGUCUGGAAAGGCGCGCGAUACAGGGUGACAGCCCCGUACACAAAAAUGCACAUGCUGUGAG